rnacentral:rRNA from 1 species
UACCCGCUGAACUUAAGCAUAUCAUUAAGCGGAGGAAAAGAAACUAACUAGGAUGCCCUUAGUAACGGCGAGCGAACCGGGCAAAGCCCAACUUGAAAAUCUCCAGCCUCCGGCUGGCGAAUUGUAGUCUAGAGAAGCGCUCUCUGCUCCAGUCCUGUCCCAAGUCCCCUGGAAAGAGGCGUCAAAGAGGGUGAGAACCCCGUUGGGACCGGCUCCUGGGUCUCCACGAGACGCUUUCGUAGAGUCGGGUGGUUUGGAAAUGCAGCCCAAAGCAGGUGGUAUAUCCCAUCUAAGGCUAAAUACAGAGGGGAGACCGAUAGCGAACAAGUACCGCGAGGGAUAGAUGAAAAGAACUUUGAAAAGAGAGUUAAAAAGUACUUGAAAUUGUUGCGAGGGAAGCGAUUGGAUCCUACGGGUGCGCCCAGGCACACGCUCGCCUAACGGUUGGCUGAAUGCGCUGGGUGCUGGUCAGCAUGGGUUGCUCGGGCGGCACCAACCUGGGGGUUGUUACCCCAGCUAUGUCGCCUGGUCGACCGAGGAAAGAAGGGCGCUCU